GCCCUUGUUUCCCGCUUCGAAGUAGAAGUCUGGAGGGAAGAGAUGGGUUGUGCUUAAGUUUAGGUUGGUUCCGCACUCUGUACAGCAGUAGAUGGAAGCCAUUUUUGAUUUCAGAUUCCAAGGUCCUUGAGUGGUGGGGAAGCAAACUGGGAAUUAUGGGGAAGCCAAGGUCGGAUUUGGCUUUGAAUUUGACGAAAUUGUCGAUGGCAGAUUUUCAAACACGCGUCGCUGCUUUAGAAAAUUCGUUUAUCCCAAAAUCAGUUUUAUUAUGACGAGGUUACUGACGUCGAGUUUUUAAUUUGAUUUUUUGUUUCUAUAAAAUCUUAAUUUUAUAUUUAAGUAGUGAAAAUGUAAUUAUUUUUUUAUUUUUGUCAAAAUAAAAAUACAUUUAUAGUAGGUGUAUUUUAUAUUGGCAUUCCAUAUACUGACAAAUAACAAUGAAAACAUCUGCAAAAAUACUUUUUUUAAAAAAUUAAGGUAAAUCAUAUGUUGUUGACAUAAAUCGGCAAUGCGCUCUAUACAGUUUUCUAGAAUUGUUUCAAAUUUUUUUAAAAUUCAAAUAAAAAUUUUGAAUUAACAUAAAUUGGUUUCUAAGUAAAUCCUCAUGGAUUCGAGUACGAUAUUUUUUUUUAAAGUUAUUUCAAAUUCACAUUUUGUUAUAGGAGUCAUUUGGUUUAACAUGUUUUAUCAAUUUAUUUUUAAGUAGAGAUUUAUUUCAAAUAAAUCAUAAUGAGUUUAUGAUUUCUUGAAUUUAAAUGUUUUGGUUUCAGACUUUAUUUUUCAGUUGUGGUUUUUUUGUAAAAAAAAAAAAUAAUAAUGUAAAGGUAAUUUCAUAUCGUUUUGUCUAAUUUGAUAUCCAUUUAUUAUUUUUUUACUUGUAAUAGCAGAUAAAUUAUACGUGAUUAUUGCACUUAAGUACUAAUUAAAUGUUUUGAUAUGAACAAAUACAAGUUACAUAACUUUGAAGUGUUAUUUUGCUCUAUUCUAUCUCUACAUUCUCUUUAUUUGUACAUGAAAAAUGUUUAAAUUAGCCUUUUGAUACUUUUAUUUUAAGAUAGAUUUAUUAAUAAUUGAACUUUUAUUGAUAUUAUAGAAAGAUUUCAUUAUUAUUAAGUUUUAAGUUCGCAUUUUGUCAUGAAAGUAAAAUAAAGUUAUAUACUUAUAAUUUAAUUGUAGAAGAAAAUAAAAUUAUGUAUUAAUAAUAUAAAUAUUGAACAAUGUUUAAGAGAAAAAAAGUCAUCUAGUUAUUUAUAUUUUGAAUAUUUACAUUAGUUAAAGUCAAUAAUGAUGAUAUAUUAAAUUUAUUCAUUGAAAACAUAUUUGUUUGUCAUCAUCAUUGGAUCACAAAAUAAUAAAUAACCUUAUUUGCAACUCAAUACUCAAUACUCAAUAUAGAAAAAUAUACCGAAUAACUCAAGAAAAAAAAAAGAUAUAUUAGUUUAAAAUACCAAUUUUUGCAAAAAGACUCUAGGAUAGACAAAAUUAGAAACUUCAUAAAACUUUAAACCAGUGAAUUGGGCUCUUAGUAAUCUUACAAAUCUAUUUUGCCUAAAAUUAUUAUAUCUCAAUUUAACUUAAACUUAAAUCAUUUUUCAAAGAGCACAACUAAAUGCUAGCCUAGAAACCUACAAAGCAAAACAGAUACAAAGAAUGAAAUACCAUAUGGUUGAAUGAAAAAGUAACCUUCAGAAACCACCUAAUGUAUUAAGUGAAUUUUACUUCUAAUAAAUUUGUAAACUUAAAGAAAUUAAUAUCCAACCAUCUCAUUUAGAGCCUUGAUUUUCCAAAUAUUAAAUUUAAAACAAUGUCUUUAAAUUAGACAGAAAUAUUUAUAUUUACAGUCCUCAUAGUUUAUGUUGUCCCUCUUUCAUCAUUUAAAAUAUUACUCCAAUAGAAUGUUUGAAGCCAAUUGAUUGAAUCAUUUAUAGAGAAGUAAUAAUUCAACAAAAAGGCUUUUUUAUGCAAUAUUUUUGCAAAAAUGAUUACCAUCAACAUGCAGUGCAUUCUUGAAACAUUUGCGUAAUUACAAGAAUAUUAAAUAAGUAAAAGUAACAAUUUACCAAUUGAAGCCAAUAAAAGAAUAAACUACAUCAAUAACAUACUAUAAGGUAGCAAUAGGUAACCAAUAAUUAACAGUAGUAAUGGCAACCUCAUUCAUAUUAAGAGCCUGUGAAACCACUGUUUCAACAACGUUAUCCUUAAAAACUUUUGCAACAUCACUCAUAACCUUAAUCUUUUUCAUCCCACCACUAACCAUAGUCGACAUAUACUGAUAAAAAGACAUGCUAAAGCUAUGAAGAAAAAAUGGUUGGGAGCAUCUUCUAUAUUGGAACAAUAAAUCAAACCUUGAGGAUGAAUUACUAAACCUAGUUUCAAAAUAUCUUUGUCGAACAAAAUUAUUGAGUUUUGCUAAGAUUAGAACUCGUUUAAAGGAUGAUUUUUAAGGUCAUUUUCAUGGAGAAUGUAGGCAUAUGAUGAUAUGAUGAUUGAUACGAAAGAAUAGAAAUUCCUUUAACAAAUGAAAACAAAAAAGAAAAACUAUCAAAUUAAAAUCAUAACCCAAGCAAGAUAAAUACAACAUAAAUAUAUUAAAUGGAAAACAUAUCUCAAGAUUCAUUUAUUACCGAUAAAAAAUCACUAAGUGGCAAUACAAUAAGAUUUAUGAAGCCAAAAUCUAAGAAUUUCAAACAAAAUAAAUAACUUAAACAAUAUUAAAAAUAUGAAGCAAAAACUCACUGUUUUAAUCUCUUAUGUUCAUAAUAAAAGGUUUUGCCAGGUUCAUGAUCUCACCCUUGAGAUACAGCAGCAUCAACAAAUCCUAAGGGACAAAAAGCUUUUUCAGUUUGCAUUUAGUAAAAAAUUAACAUAAAAGAAAAAAAUAUCCAUAAAGGAGCAUGUAAAUACCUCUAGCAAUACGUUUUAUGGCUUUGCAGAGAUCAUUUUUCCUAAGAAAAGAUAAAACAACAAACACUCGAGACAAAAGUUAUCAUAGCAUAAAAACUUAUAACAAAUAAAUUUAGACUAGAUUAGCAUAAACUAACCAACCCAAUGUUUAGGCAAAAUUCGAUCCAGUCCCUAUAGGAAUGAAUUGCAAGAAAGUAUAAUAUGGUUAUAUUUUCUUUAGAAAAAUGCAAAAAGAGGGAAUCCAAAAAGAAUUCCAAGUUGCAAGUGAAGACUAAAGAGAAAAAAAUACAUAAAUUCAAGAUUAUCAUUCAUUAAAGCCUAACCAAAAUCCUACCAAAAAAAGGAUGAUAAAAAAAAAAAAGCUUAAUGGUAAUUUUAAACCAAAAGCAGUUGAAUGAACGACCUCUAUCUUCAUAUUAGCAACAAGUUUUCAUCCCAAAAGAACCUAUUAACAACCUGUUUAUCAUAAACCAAAAUAGAUAAUUUAAUUAAUCAUUUUCUCUUUUAAAAAAAAUAUGCAAACAAAAAAAAGAAAAAAUAAAACAUAUUAUAAGAUUACUAUGAAAAAAAAUCUACAUGUCAUAAAGAGUUCUGUCACCUCCAGCUGCAAUCACAGCAUUAGCAGCCUUUCUUGUAGCUUGUAAACCAUUAUCCAUCAAGUUACAUGAUAAAUAUAAAGACUAUUAACUUAAAAUCUUCCAUAGGUAGCCUAAACAAAGUUCGAUCUCGUUGUUUUAAUUGAAAAAAAAAUGUAAAAGAAGCCCUUGAUUUCUACCUCCCUAGUAAUAUCAAUUAAAUGAAAAAGAUCAAAAGUCAAAGAUUCAUAUAUCUGUAUAUUGAUAUAUAUAUAUAUAUAAAUCAUUUGAUAUAUAAUUUUGCACAUUCAAUAUUUAAAAUGAUUUCCAAACGAGAAAUUAAUUGUUAAGUUUUUCAAAAGAUUAAUUUUAAGAGAUAUGUAAACCAAUUUAAACUUAUAGCUUGUUCCUUGGUUAGCUGAACACAAAUUGAAAAGAAAAAAAAAUCAUAUUUGAUAUAUGAUUUUGCACAUUCAAUAGACUAUAAUGUUCUCAUAUCCUCCUGGACCUUUAUUGUAACAAAAACAUUAACUAAAAUAUAAUUAAUCCAUAAGUAAACUAAUCCCAUAACAAACCAAUGCACUAACCAUAAGUUUCAAAUUUACAAAGAGCUAUAAACACAAACAUGUUAGCAGAAACAAACAUGCCUCUCAAUUUUUCAAGAAGCCUUACUCUUUUAAGUAACACAACUUUAAGAAGCCUUUCAAUGAAAAUCAACCUUAGCCUAUUUGAAUAGUUAUCAACAUUUGCAUUUAAAAAGAUGUUCAAAGCAAUUUUAACAAAAACAAAAGAUUAUGUUAGUAUUUUACAAUAAGCAUAUGUUCUAGGCAUCAUAAUCAAAAGUCAAUAGUUUUAAUGACAAAACUUAUAAGGUAAAAAUGUUAAACUCAACUUUUGUUGACAUUUGAGUUUGAUCUAAAUAAUAAUGGCUAAAUAUUAUACAAAUAUUUCAGACUUUAAAGAAUAAAAUUAAUAGUAUAAAAGAUUUUAUGGAGUAAGAAUAACAAUUUUAUAUAUAAACAUGUAACUGGGUUACAAAAAAAAAGUGAAAAUUGGCAUUAUUAUAGUGUCAAGGGCAAAUUUUAUGAUGUAUCAACUCACGAAUUAUUUUUAAAGAAAUGAGGCUCUUUAUGUAUUUAAUCAUGUCGCCCACAACUUGUGAUAUCUCAAAAAUAAUUAUUUUAAAAUAUUAAUUUUUUUUAAAUUAAAGAAAAUAAUGUAACUAUCAUUAUUUCUCACUCUCUCAAUCUUUCUCUCACUUUAAAAAAUUAUAUAUUCAAAAAAAUAAUUGAAAAAAAUAAUUUAACUUACCUUGUUGAUGCUAGUAAUCAUGGACUGGUCAUAACCUUAUCUUCUCUUUUCUUUCACUUUUUUUUUAUCUUCUCCUUUCUCUCGCUCUUUGCACUUUUCACUAUCUUUUUUCUAUAAUAAAAAGAAAAAAAUCACACAUAAAUGUCAACAUUUGUAAAAAAUCACAGUCAUUUUUUCUACAAUAAAAACAUAAUAUAUGGAUAUUGUAUAUCCAUCUUUCUCUCUCCCAUCUACUAACAUAACUAAAGGGGAUGAGCUAAAUAUAGAAUUUUUUUUCUUUAAAAGCAAAGCCUUAACUCUCAUAAGGUUUGGAUUCAGAUCCUCAAAAAUCCGAUUCACAUUUAUCUAUUUACUUUUUCAUCUGAUCUAAUCUAAAAAUGAAUCUAUCUAGCCUUAAAAAAUGAUGCGUGACUACUGCAUUGCCACCAUAAUGGGCAUAACUUUCAGACCUACCUAAACAGAGGGGUCAAGUUUUAGGAGUUUGGCUAAUUGAUUGGUCGGUUCAAAAAAGUGUCACCCAUGGAUAAUGGUAGUUGAUUCUUUCAUCCCUUUUUUUUUAUUGUCUCUUUUUUUUUUUUUUUGCUUUUAUUUUUAUCCAUGUUAGUUUCCAAAAGCUUCUUUCUUUAAAAGCUUCAGCAUUUUUUUCAACUUUGAAAGUUUCUUUGAGAAGGCUUUACUUUAUAGUUCCAAAAUUACCUUCUUUAAUUAUUUUUAAAGACAAACAUGAGUUGGGCAUCAAUUGAUAAAAAAGGAUAACUUUUAUAUAUUGUUAUAGAUUUGACUAAUUUUACAAUCCAACUACCAAAAACUAAAAAAUUUUGUUUUGACAAAAAAAAUUAGAAUUCUUAUUUUUAAAAGACUAUGUGAAAUCUUAAUAUCUUAUAACAUUUUAGUGAUAAAUGUGAUUAUUUUACUUUAUAAUGAAAAAAAUUAUGUAUUAAAUGAGACUCAAUCAUCUUAUAGCAAAUUUCCUUCUUAAUUCAAUAUUUUUUGUACUUAAACUUGUCAGGAUUUGAAUUAUAAUUACUAAAAUAUUGUUUUGAUGGUAUGAUGACUUGCUUUUACCAAAAGUAUUAGCAUAUAAUGGGUGAUGAUAUUAUUAAGGCUAUACUUGGUUUCCUCAAUCAUAGUGGAUCUUUAUUGGAUAUUAAUCAUACUAAUAUUAUAUUUAAUACUAAUGCUAUGUUUGGCUAGAUAUUAAUAAAGGAAAAAAAGUUUUUUUUUUAAAUAUACAUGUACCUCUUGUUUAGAUGGUUAAAAUUAAUAAAUAAAAGGAAAUGCAAGAAAUCUUAACAGCUAUUGAUUGGAUAAAGAGUGAAAAUGAAAGAAAAUAAUUUAUUAUAAUAUUUUUUUCAAUUAUAACCUUAUUUUUAUAAUAUAACAUAUAAUUAAGGAUAUAUCUUUAUAUUACCUAGCUUAUAUAAACAAAUGAUCCUUGUAAUGACCAUUCGUUUAUAACUAUUUAUGGUUUGACCACCAAAUCUAAAGCAGCUUGAUUGAUCUUGUCAAAACUAUUUAUGUUUGACCAUUAAUUUUAAAGCAAUUUAAUGGUUUGACCACCAAAUUUAAAGUGACCUAAUCAUUUUUAUAUUGUCAAAACUAUUUGUGGUUAAUUUUGGAACUUAAUGUCAUUUUGUUUAUUCACCAUUAAGCACACAUAGACAAGAUGAAAUACAUUUGACCUUGUCAACAUUUAUGCAACCUAGAAAGUUACAACAAGUAUCAAAAGAUUGAGAAUUUUAAAGUAAAUCAAGCCUUUAGUAUUCAUAUAAAAGCUAUUAAAUAAGAAAAGAUGCGAUCAUAUAAAAAUAUUAUAUACUAUCGAACUAGAUACCAUUUUUGCACUAGACAAAAGGUAUUAGCAUAUCACCAUAUAAUUGUCCAACAUAACUUUAUUUUACUAAAAUAAAGAAUAAAUAAUUUCAUCCUAAGAAAAAAUUAUUUCAAUGGAUUAAAAACUUAUAUAGUAAAAAUAUUUUUGACAUCUUUAAUGACUAGAUGAACCAAACUCCAACCUUUCAACGACCUUUUUUCUUUUAUCCCAUAAGCCUCAAAGUACAGUUUUUACUUUCUCAAGAUUAGUAAUAAAAUAUAAGUAAGUAGUGUGACUAGUUGUGAGUCAAUUUCUAUAUCUUCUAGUAGAUUUUCAUAUUUCAUUUUUUUGAAAUUCAAUCAACAUAAGUGUUAAACUUUUCAUAAAUAGCAUUUCGUACAAUAAGUGCAUUAGCAACCAUUUCAAACCCUUCUCGAAUAAAUUCAUCAUCUUUGUCAUCUUUUGAUUUUUAAGUUCUUUUAUUCAUUAAUUACUUAAGAGAAUAAGAGAAUUUUUAAGUGAAACCUAGGGGAUGUCCUGAGAUCAAUGUAUUCUUACUUGAAAUAUCAUGAUUCUCCAAUGUCACCUCAUUCUAAGAUAUUAAAUUAUCAAUAUUCAUCAAUAUUCUCUCUUAACUCAUCAUUAAUUCAAGAAGAUUGCUUAUUUUGUCUCAUUUCUGCUGCAAUUCUCAGCAUGCUUCCUAGUGAUUUGGUCAUACCAUAAAAAGAUUACCAUCUCAUCGUAAUUGGAACGGGUUUAGUCAUCCAUUUUUUGGCAUAAGGAUGUGCCUAAAAAUUUAUACAUAUUAUAUUAUGAUAAUAUAAAUAAUAAAAUGUAAAAUAGUUAAUAAAAUAAUAAUUAAAAUUGAUUUUAAUAAAAUUUACUUCAAUCAAUCUCUGCCAAACUUCAAGUUCAGCACCCUAUAAUUUAGUAACUGAAUUCCAAGAAAAUUCACUCAUUCUUUACCUUAAUCAUAACACUUUGAAAAAUUAAUUUUUUAUAGUCUUCCAAUAAUUUUACACUUUUUCCUUCUCUAUGCAUUUCCCAAAAAUUUUUUUCAACUUAAUGACUAUAUUAUUAUAGGCAUGUUUAAUAAAUGUUCAAUUUAUCAUGUUUCCCAUAUUAUAGUGAUUCAAAAAUACAUAAAACAAGUAUCAUCCAUUGUUGGUGUCCAUGUCAAAACAUCAUCCUUAUUUGUCCCUUUGUCACUCUCAUUAGUUGUAAUCACUUUUUUCUUUUCUCAACAUAAUUAAAUCUACAUAAUAAAAUAAAAACAUGCAAAAAGUUAUAAUAACAAUUAAAUAUAAUCAUUGAGAAAUAAGUACUUUAAUUGUUCAAAUGAAAUAACAUUUAUUUAAUCAAAGAAAUACAUUUAUUUCAAAUAAAGCAAAUAUAAAUUCAAGAAAUGCACAUAUAAUAAUAAUCAUUCAAUUUCUAUAAUUUAUCCACAUAGCAUUAGCUAUAAAAUCUCUUAAUUAUUCUUCUCAAACAACACCUUCAUUUUUAUUUCUAGGAGCACGAUACUCUUAUUUAGUGGAUCCAAUAUUUAAUUUACAAUUAAUCUUAUCAAUACCAGCAUCAUCAGGAUCUACUAUUAUUAAGUAAUUAUGUAAAAUAUAACAAGGUAAAAUUAUUACUUUUUAGGUUCUAACUCUAUAUGUCAGUGCAUUUACGCUUGUUAUAAUAGGAAAUCUUUUUUUAAGGACAACAAAUGCUUUUUCAAUUGCAUUACACAAAGAUGCAUGUCUAAAAUUGAAUGAUUCUUAAGAAGUUUUUAGUCGGUGAUUUGAAUAUUCUUUCAAAUGAUACUAUGCUCCUUUAUAUAGUGCAAUCAAUUCACUUUUCAACAUAAUUCCAACAUCAAUAAGAUAAUAUUUACCUAUUCAAAAUUGUAACCGUAUCACUAUUUUGAUAUUAUAAGUAGCUAAAUUAAAUAUAUUAUAUUAUAUUGAUUACAUUUUGGAAUUAAAAGUUUGUUUGUUCUUGAUAGUGCAUUUUUCAUAAUUCUUGAGUCAAGUAUAAUACCUUCUCAUUUAAGUAUGACAUAAGUAAAUUUUAAAUCAAAUGAACAUGUUGCUAAUACAUUUGAUUACCUUAACUCUAAUAUAUGUUCCAUUAAUAGUUCUUACAUAGUUUUUUUAUUAAUUUUAUAUAUUAAUACUUAUUGAAUAUAAAACAAAUUUGUGAUUAAAUUAAAGUAACUAAUAAUUCUAUGCCUUAAAAUAUGCGUAGAAUAUCUCGUUUCCAAGUAUCUCAGUUGAAAUAUGUGAGCCAUUUGGUUGUUUAAGGAAUUUGUCUUUUAACUUUAUUAUGGCUCUUAAAAUAUGAUGUAAAUGGUGACUAGUGUUUCUUUCAAAUGUCUAAACCAAAAUUUUAUUUCUCUAUUUUUGCAUUAGAAGAUAAUACAUAAAGAGUUUUAGCAACAUGUUAUUCUACUGUAACUUGUCUUGUUGGUUUUAGACCACCAUAUUUUUUUAGUAUUGCACAUAAAUCUAGAAAAGCUUUAUAUCUCAUUCUUAUAAUAUCUUUACUUUUUUCACUACCAAUAAUUUGACUUAUUGUUUUAUCUCUAACCUGAUCUUUUUCUUCAUUCAUACAAUGAUCAAUAACUUCUUUUCAUGAUUUUUUUUACAUAUAUACCAAUUAAUAGCUAAACAUAUAAUGUAGACAACUGCCUUUCGAUGACUUUUUCUCCACAAAUACUCAAUUAUUGUCUCAUUUCUUUGUUUAUUCAUCUAUGACAGUAAAAUAUUAACAAUAAUUAUUAUUAUUAUUGUAAAAAUAAAUAUACUAACAUUUGUAUAUAUAUUCUUGUAUAUAAAAAUAAAUACACUUAUAUAUAUUCUUGUGUGAAACAAAUUAAUAGUAGUGUACAUUCAUAGAAAAUAAUGUGUUUAUUCAAUAGCUAAUAACGAAUAAAAAAUGAAAUAAUAUGUAUAAGUACUUGAGAAAAAUAACAUUAUUCAAUAUAACUAAAACUAAAUUUCUACUUUGUUUAGUUUAAUCUAUUUUUUAUUAUUAAAUUUUUAUUACUACAACUAAAAUUAAAUAUAAUAUAUUAUUUUAACCUUUUAAAAAAAUUUCAAUUACAAAAUGAUGAAUACAACCUUUAGUUAGAUUACAAAUUGUUUUAUGACUUAAUUUGAGUAUUUUUUGCUUAUAUGAAAGAAAGAAUACUAAAGUCUCUCAGUUUACAGUUAGUAUAAUUGAAUAUGGCAUGGAGAUUCCUGGUUUAAUAAAACAUAAUCUCCCGCAUUCAAUGAAUUAAUACUUAAAUUCUAUUAGUCUUUAUAUUCAUGCCAUAUCCAACACUUAUCACAAUAAUCCACAAUCUUUUUGUAAAUACUUAAUUCAAACACAUAUCAAAUAAUCUACAAUCUUUCUCCAAAUACUUAAUUCAUAAACAAUCUACCAUUUUAAAUGAUUGUCAUUUUAUGCUUAUGAUCCAUACUAUGAUGAUCUAGAGCAAAAAGCUUAAUAGACUAUGACUGAAAAUAGCCAAUUUUUUCACCUUUAGAAACAUAAUUUGUCAAAAAAAACAAACUAUUACAAUUUUCAAUUCAUAUACAUGCUUUCUUAGUAUAAAUUAAUCAUAACAAGACCAAUUAAUUAAUAAUUAUAUCUAGAAAAUAGAAUUAUAAUGAUUUAAUUAUUGAAAAACAUAAAUUUUACUUUUAAAUAUCUAAAGGCAUGCCCCAACCUAAAUAGACACCAAGUACUUAUCCUACGUAUAAAAAUCAUUAGGCUUGAGCUAAAAAUUGUGAGGUAGUAGUCUGACAUCUUAUAAAAAUAGUUAUUGAUUCUUAAUUAAAAAAAUUACAGCUUUCUAGCAUAAAAAGAAAGAACCACGAAUCUUUAGAUUUUUUUUUAUUGAUUUUACAUAACUAAUAAUGAUACAUUAUUUGGUUCAACAUAAACAAAGACAACAAAUAAAUAUCCAAAAGACAAAAGACUAUAAAGUUAUGAAUAACAAGAAACAAGUACAUGCAUCUAAAAAAAAGUUAUCCUGUAUAUAUGUUCAAUCAUGUUCAAUCAUGUUCAACUAUUCAUUAAAAGUCAAAUCACCAAAACAAUUAAUCUAAUAACAAUCUUUAUAUUAAAACAGGCAUGUAAAACUUACUUGAAAAAAGAAAUAACAGGAAAAAAUUGUUAGAUGAUCCUAAUGUGACUAGGUUUAAGUAGUAUUAACAAAAAUAUAGAUAUAAUAGUUUUUUCAUAAAAAUAAAAAUUUUUCAACUUUCCUUUAUAUAGCUUUUUCAUCAAAUUGAAGUAUUAAAAAAGUUAAGAUUACAAGAGAAAUAAAAAAUUAUUGGGUUUUCAUCUAUUUUUUUUCCUUUAAAUUAAAAAUUUAUCCACAUUAGGAUAGGUUUUUUUGUUUUCUUUAUUUUUUUUUCCUUUCCUUCCCCUUCAUUCAAUCCAAAUACACACUAAAGAUAAAAUUACGUGGAGUUUUAACCUAUCAGUCUAUGUAAUGUAGUGUACAAAAUCAUCUUGAAAAUACUGAUGAACAGGUAGAAAAACCGUGUUUAUUACAUCAUUGGUCUUAAUCAAAGUGCUUUUGUUUCAGAGGGAUGAUUUUUCAUAACUCGUUGGUAGCAUAUGAAACAAUUAAUUCUAUUGUGAAUAAAAGGAAGGGUAAUAAAUGUCUAAUAGCUCUUAAGUUAAAUAUAAGUAAAGUAUAUGAUAAGAUGAAAUAUGACUACUUAGAAAAAAGUGAUGCAAAAAAUAGGUUUCUCAAUGGGUCUCACAGAUCAUGACAUGUGGGCUUAAUGUAUCAUAUUCGAUGGUUGUUAAUGGUAAUCAAUAUGGUAGAAUUAUUCUUUUUAAAAGACUCAAACAAGGGGAUCCAUUAUCACCUUAACUAUUUCUUUUAUAUGCUGAAUAUAUGUCAUAUCUUUUAAAAUAAACUAAGAGGAGAGAUGUAAUCCAAUGUAAUGUUGUUAUUAGAAGAGCUCCAUAGAUUUUCCACCUUUUUUUUGUAGAUGAUAACAUCAUUUUUCUUAAAACAAGUAUAAAUAAGGGGUGAACUAUUCUUGAUAUGCUACAAGAAAACUACCAUAUUCUGAUAUUCAAAAAAUCAUUGAUAAAACUUAAAAAUUCAUCGGUAUAAAAUAAUAAACCUUAUACCGAGUUAUCGAUAGUCAAAAUAUAUAUUCUUACAAUUUUUUAACUAUCAAUAUAUCCCUUGUUAGUAUAGACUUAUACUAAUAGUUAUUAAAUUAUUGAAAUAUGUAAUAGAGAUAUACCAACAAUAUUGGUCCAUCAAUUUAUGUAGAAUCGUUGGUAUAGCAAUUAUUGUGUGUUCCGCAUUAUACUUUUUACUGAUGAUUAUCUUUUGUUAGUAUAAACUCAUAUGUUUUAAUUUUUUCAACAUAUACCAAUGGGUUGCUUGUUAAUAUAACCUCAUGUGUUUUUACUUUUACCGAUAGUCUAUCCGACACUAUAUUUUACAAAUGAUUGGUGGUGGUCAAUAUAACCUGAAAUAUUCAAACAGUAAAACACAUCGAUAUAAAUGUUAAGGCAUUGGUAAAAACUUUUCUUUUAAAUUAUAUUUGUAAUUAUUAAUAUUAAUUUAUUUAUAAUCAUAAUAUGAUGUGGUUUCAUAUAAAGUUAAUAUAUAUAAAGUAAAAGAUAUUUAAGAACAUUUGAAAUAAAAACUACAAGCAAAUUGUUUUAUAAUCCAUAAAUUAAGAAUAAGUAAAAAAUUAAAGUCAUUGAACAAAUUCUAGAUAAAAAUGAACAUCAUUGAAUGUCUAUGAUCCAAGUCUACAAACAUGAUGCUUGAAGUAGAUAAACAACUUUUCAAAGCAAAUGAUCCUAUCAUAGAUUUUUAUAGAGAAUCAUCUACAUAGUAUAAAAAACACAAUUAGAAAAUUAAGUUAAAAGCAAAAAUAAUUAGUGUAAUUCUAAAAAUAAUUUGUAUAAAAAUCUAACAAGGGAAUAAUUUAUAUUUUGCUCAGAAUCCAUCCAAGUCCAUUAUGAUAACACAUAAGAAACAUAAAGUAGUGAAUUAAAUUCUAUAUACACAUGAUAAGCAUAAUGCAGUGAAUUAAAUUUUAUUAUAUUAUUAUUACAGUAAUAAUUAUUUUAUCUUUACUUGUUUGGAUAAACACCCAAACUAUAAGUGCAACAAGAACAAGAUAUUCGAUACAUGUAUAAAUGUAUUAUUCUACCCUUUAAAGCAACAUGUGGUUUAAACAAACUUCUAGCUAAUCCAAGAUAAAAUAAGUGAAAUGAUGCUUCACAAAAAAGUUUAAGAAAAACCUAAAUGACUGAAGCAAAAAUCUCAACCUAUCUAUUAUCUCUAUUAUUUACCUUUCUAAAAUUUAAUAAUUGAUUCAAAAAGCUUUAACAAGCUGUUAUAAACUUUUGCAACUUUCAUAAUUAUUUUUAUGCUACUUUUUUUUUAUAAACUUUUUGAUAUUUUCCUUUCUUCACCUCCCCUACUUGUAAUUACAUUAUUGUAUAAUUGUACUUAAUUAGAGAUAGAAAUGAAAGAGAAAAAAUUAUAUUAUGCACCAAUUUUUUCAUUAAAAAAAUUAAGAGAUAAUAAGAUUUUCCUAAUUGCAUAGCUAAAAAAAUUUAAGAGGUAAAAAUGAAAGGUAAACAAAUUUAUAUUAUGCACUAAUUUUUUUAUUAAAAAAUUAUAAAUUAUAUAUAAUUAAAAUCAGAUAAUAGUAGUAUUUAUUGUAGUUUUAGGUUCCUGCAUGAUAUAUUUUUCAAAUUUCUUCUAUUAAAAAGUGUAUUCAUCAAAUGAUAUUAAAUUGAUGAUUAAUAGAUAGAGUUAUUAAAUAUAUAGCUUGAAAAACCAACAUAAUAAGCAGGCACAUGCUAAAUACCAAUGUUACAUUUUGAAAAAGAGUAAGACACUUGAAUUAACUAAUUUUUACAAUCAUAACAGAUAUUCCUAGCAAAUCAAACCAUCCUCUUAUCAUUAUUCUUCAAUCAAUAAUGUGAAAAAACAAAUUUAACAUAUUAAGAAAUAAAAACUUUAACCUAUUAAGAAAAAAAAAAGUUAACCUACUAACCUAUUAAAAAAAUUAACUGACUCUUGAAGGUUUAUAUUAUAAGGCCAUCCAAUCACCAUCCAUUACCAAAUCAAUUCAUCCUUAAUAAUUAUUUAGAUAGAACAAAAAAAUGAGUACUAAAAAUCUUGUUACAAUUCGAUUCUAGUCAUGAAAAAUUACAACUACCUAGCAAUGGAUCAUGUUACUAGUUAUACUAAACAAAAAGCACUGGUUUGUGAAUAAAAACUAACAUGUUACUAGUUAUACUAAACAAAAAGCACUGGUUUGUGAAUAAAAACUAACUUAGCUAGUAGGAGAAAAACAUCAUUAACCCUUCAUACCAAAAAAAAAAAAAAGAAAAAACAACUUUAAUUUUCAAUUUAAUUUAGAUAAAUUAAUAAAAAUAGAAAGAAAAUGAAAGCUCAUGAGUCAUGACAAAAGUUUUUUUUUUUUUUUAAAUUAUGUCGGUUCAAAAAAUAUAAAAUAAAAGUAAUGUAAAAUCGAUAACCUUUGGCUGGUCACCUAGAAUAAUAGCAAAACAAGGUAAACCAUUUUAUUAAUGAUAACCAAAUAAAAGCCAUCAAGAGCCUCAUUAGAUUGCCCUAUGGUAACAAGAGAAAAGAAUAAUAUUCUAAAUUUCAUACCAAAACAAAAAAAAAGGUUUUUUUAGUUUUACAGUGUAAUAAUCAAGAUUAAAUGAUAAUGAUAAAAAUGAGAGAAUUCAUUUUUUGGUAUGGUUUUAUAAUUACAGGUUUCAAUUAGCUAUAACUUAAUAAAGUCUUUAGGUAGGUAAAUCAGUAUUGAAGGCAUUUUAUAAACAAAAAAUGAUUAAUUAAAAUAAUCAAAAAAUAUGUGUAAUUAUCCUAAUUAUCCUACAUACCAAUUAUACUAGCGCAUCAUUGAUCAUUGGUCAAAUUUUGCAAUGAUACUAUCUAAUGGCUUAACAUUUCAUAAGAAUAAGCUUUUAUUUUCCUCUAUUUCCUUUUCAAUCUAAUGGCUAAGUUAUAUAAACUAGGUUAGCCAUUCGUCUUAAAUAGUUGGCAAAACCUUGAUUUACCUUUUCCCUGCCAAUUACAAAUGGUCUUCAUUAUAAUAAACUCUUUUUUUCUAUUUUUUUAUUUUGAUUUUGAUAUUAAGUAUAAAUUCAAUACUUCAAAUCAUCAUAAGAAACUUUACCUAGCCAAAUCUAAAAAGUGUCCAAAAAAAAAAUGUUAACGAUAAUCUUUCAAAAAAGCUCCAACAAUUCAAAAAUAAAAAAAAAAUAAAUUUGAUUAAAAAAUGGUAAAUCCACAAAUCAAGAGGUCUUAUAACUACUUAUAGGCUACAAACGAGAUCAAAAGACAACCAGAACCACCUCUUAAUGAAACAGAACAUCUCACUUAAAAACAUGCUAUUUUGUAAGAAUCAAUGACAGUGAAAGAAAUUGCUGGUAAGAAUCAAUGGCAUGCUUAACGACAAAAAGUUAAAAUACAAAAAAUAAAAAAUAACAUGCUUAAUGAUAAAAAGUUGAAAUAUAAAAAAUAAAAAAUAACUUUGAGAGCUAUAAGAGUCUUAAUGCUUCAAUUUUGAUUUAGCUCGAUAACAAAAUAGAGGAUGAAAAAAGAAUAGGCAUUUGAAAAUGGGAUACCUAGUAAUGGAGAUUAGGCCAUAGGCAUCGAUGAGAUUUAUGUUCAUAGAAUAUGAAAGUGGAGAUAAAAAAAAUGAAGAUAAAAAAAUUGAGUGAAAAAAGACAUGGGAUUUACUUUCAUAACCCUAACAUUUUUUCCUCAAAUAAAGGCUAAUAACUUUUUUGUUUUGAGCCUAUACUAAUGAUUAUAAUAAUAACCGUUAGUAUAUAAUAUACUUAUACUGACAAAUAGUCAUAUUCUGUUAGAAAAAAUUAUUUAUAUCGAUGGUUGUAUAAAAUAUUGGUAAAAGUAUUUUAUAUUUUAAUGGUAUUAAAAAUCCAUCCAUAUAAAUUUUUUUUACUGACGUAAUUUAACCAUCAGUAUAACUAAACAUCAGUAUAUGAAAAUUUUUUUAUAAUGAUAUUUUUUAUCAAUACAAGAGAGCAUUAGGUCAAUUGGUAAAUGUGGUUAAAUAAACUAUCAUGUUUAGCUUGAAUACAAACUCAAGAAUGAAGGAUGAUGUUAUGAAGUGUCUUGAAAGCUAUAAAGAAAUAUCAUUGGACCUUUACCUAGGCAUAUCGAUUAUAAUAAGUAGAUUAAAUAAGGUUAUUUUUUAACAAAUAAAAGAUAGUUUUUGCCAAAGAAUGCAAUGUUGGAGAGUCAAUUUCUUUUUUACAUUGGUAAGGCUAUUCUAAUUCAAGUUGUUGCGUAGGUAAUUCCCUUAUACUGCAUGAGUUAUUUUUUGUUUCUCAAGACAAGCUAUAUGCGAUAAAUAUAAUCAUUACGAGUUUCUAGUAGGGAGAUAAGAACACUCAAAAGCAAAUACAUUAGUUGAGUUGGGAUUCAUUAUGCUUAUCUAAACUAGAUGGGGAUUUGGGUUUUAAAGAUUUUGAAACUUUCAACUUAGCACUCUUGGUAAAGCAAUGCUAGUGGUUGGUUUAUGAUAAGUCUUCAUUAUGCCAACAAGUAUUUAAAGCUAAGUAUUUUCAUGAUACUUCUUUGUUAAAUGUUGAGUUGAAAAGUGAUCUAUCCUUUGUAUGAUGUAAUAUGAUGACGAAAAAAAAUAUUUUAUUAGUAAAGAGUUAGAGGUAGAAAACAAAUUUAUGUUUGGUAGGAUAAAUGGUUAAAUAAACCAUCAACUUACAAACCAGAAAACCCUUAUGGAGAUAAUGAAAAUCUAUUUAAAGUAAUUGAUUUAAUCGAUGAACAUUGUCAUGGAUGGCAUAGGGAUAUGUUGAACACUUGUUUUGGUCAAGAAGAUAUUGAUAUAUUUCAUUAUUAUGGUGCCAUUAAGUCAAUAAAGUGUUCCAGGAAAGUUGAUAUGGGGUGCAUCAAUACUGGGACAAUUCACUAGUAAAUCGACUUAUUUAAUGUCAAAAGGUUUGAUAGUGAAAAAACAAGUUGACAUAAAGCUUCGUUUUUUAUUAUGAAAACUUGUUUAGGUUGCACAUACACUACCAAAGAUAAAAUAUUUUAUUUGAAAAGUGUUUUGAGGUGCAUUACCAAUUAAGAAGAUACUUAAAGCUAGAGCGGUACACAUAGAUAUUAGGUGUUGCGUUUGUGGUAGGAUGAAUUGAGGUAUCUUUCAUGUUUUUUUUUUUUUUUAUCAUGUUUUCAAUAGGGUUGUUUGGUCAACAAUGUGUUUUUAGAUUUCUUUUUUUUUUUUUUUUUUUUGAGAAUGGUCAUCAUCAAUAGAUUUUUUGCUUCAUCUUAUGAUUAAGGCAUAGCAAAAUGUUGAUGCAUCUUUUGAUGAUCAAAGCAAUAUAGUGGGGUUGAGAAUGGUUGUAAGAGGCAAAAGGGGAAAAGUCUUGUUUAGCACGAUGAAUAAGGUGUGAUACGUGCAAAGCCCACUCUAUGUUGAAAUAAAAGCUAUUCUCUUUAGCAUAGGUAUGACGUUUGACUAUAGAUAUGACUAUUUAAUUGUUGAAAGAGAUUUCUCUAUAACAGUUAAGGAAAUUAAGAGAGUUGAUGUCUCUUAUUGGGAUAAUAUUGGUAUAGCUUUAGACAUAUUAGGGUAAGAAAAUUACAUUUGUUCAAAUUAAAAGAGAUGCAAAUUCUUUAGCCAACAAUAUUGCUAGAAUUAAUUGCUUGAUGGGUCAAUAAUAUGUUUGGGUGAGGUCUUUUCCACAAUCAAUAUGUAAUAUUGAUGUUUUUAUAAGUUAAUGGAAGUGUUUCUAUUAUGAUAAAAAGAAAAAUAUAACACUUUAUCAAAAAUAUUAUAUACAUUUUUAUAACUUUUUGGUAAGCCUUCUUUUUUUUUUUUUGAAAACAUCAUAAUGUGCCUUUAGUAGUGAUAAGGAAUGAACUUGUUGCAUUAAUCUCCAAAAUGGUUAACAAAAAAAGCUAUUAAAAAGAUAUGUAGAGAUGAAAAAAGCAAAAUUAGUUUUAUUUAAUGCCUUGAGAUAUUCGUAGAAUAAAUUAAGGGGAUGAAAAUGGUAGUUUGGGCUUGGGCUUCGACUUCCCGCGGCAAAACUAACCAAGCGCAUCCAUCUACGCUAGUCAUCUCGAAAGUGUUGCUCUAGUUUGUCUAUAAAUAAGCCCUUAGGGGCGUUACUUGCGUUUGUUGAGGAGAGUCUCUCUAGGCGGAGAGAUCGUCUGUUGUCCCUAAAUCCUAGAUCUCUCAAAUUAAACCGGGAAAAUUUCAAACAGAAAAUCGAAAAAAAGAAAAGGAACAUAAAAGAACCAAAAGAGUACAGGAAAAAAAAAAUCAUUUCUCACUUAAAAAAAGCUUAAUUCUUUACCUGAGUCAGAAUCUAGGGUUAGGAAUUUUAUAAUCGAAUCGGAUCGCCAUGGAUUUGCGAUUCCCUUACUCUCCCGCGGAGGUCGCCAAAGUCCGCAUGGUUCAAUUUGGCAUUCUCAGUCCCGACGAAAUCGUAAAUUUCAAUUCUUCAGCUCUAUUUUUUAUUCUAUUUGCUCCUUUUCUUUGCAGUCUGUUUGGUUGCCAAGAAAUUAUAGGAAAAAAGAAAAGAAAAGGAAAAGAGAUGGAAACUGUAGAAUCUGUGUAUUGAACUCGAAACUACUUUGCGGGUUUUCUUUCUAUACCUGCAAGGUGAAGUUGCGGCAAUUUUUUUACCUCACCGCUCGAGCUUGUUGAAUUGGAAAAUCAUGAUUUUGAUGUGCUUAGUUUUUGCAGCGGCAAAUGUCGGUGGUGCAGAUUGAGCAUAGUGAAACGACAGAGAGGGGAAAACCUAAAAUAGGCGGUUUAAGUGACCCACGGCUGGGCACAAUUGAUAGGAAGAUGAAGUGCGAGACGUGUACGGCCAACAUGGCAGAGUGUCCAGGGCAUUUUGGGCACUUGGAGCUUGCGAAGCCGAUGUUUCACAUUGGGUUUAUGAAAACUGUACUCUGUAUAAUGAGAUGUGUCUGCUUCAAUUGCUCUAAAAUUCUUGCUGAUGAGGUACUAAUAUGCUUGAUUAGGUCAUUUUCUUAUUUGAAUUUGACCUAAAAGUAAUUUUAGUGGGUUGAUGACUCCUUGUAAUUGUUGGAUUCGUGAUAUUAGCAGUAUUCUGGAUUUGGAUUAUUAGUACUGCAAAGAACAAUAAUAUGUUUGAAGGAGUGCGAGUAACUUGUGCAUUAUUUGAUAUGAGGCUUUGAAGUAAUAGAAAGUGAACAUGAAGAAAUGAAAGACAUGUUUUAAUGGUUUAUUUUAUGAGUGGCAAGGCAAUAUCGACGGUUGAGGUAGUGAGUGAUAUUGGGCUUCAGAUCAAUUUUCCCCUUUUUAAAUUACAAUUGUUUGGAUUAUGAAUACAGUAUCACCUAAAAGUGGAUUUUGGCAUGCUUCGAUAUUCGUGUUUUGAUAUAUUCCUGCGUUGGCUUUCUAUCCAUGUUCCCUUUGUUUUACUGUUUGCUUUUUAUUGUACCACUUCCAGAGCAAAUAUACCUGGUUACAUGAUGCCAUUCCCUAAUUUAAUUAUUGCUUUUCCAGGAAGACCAUAAAUUUAAGCAGGCAUUGAAGAUAAAGAAUCCAAAGAACAGGCUGAAAAAGAUCUUAGAUGCAUGCAAGAAUAAAACUAAAUGUGAGGGUGGUGAUGAAAUUGAUGUCCAGGGUCAAGAUACGGAGGAGCCAGUAAAAAAGAGUCGUGGUGGCUGUGGUGCCCAGCAGCCAAAGCUGAGUAUUGAUGGUAUGAAGAUGAUUGCUGAGUAUAAGGCCCAAAGGAAGAGGAAUGAUGAUCAGGAACAACUUCCUGAACCUGUGGAAAGAAAACAGACUCUUACUGCUGAACGGGUAGCCAUUUGUGCGUAUAUGUUGGUUUAUUAUUAUUUUGGCUCUGUAUAGCUUCUUUUUUUUUUCUUUUAUAUAGGUAUCACAUUUGUGUUCUGUUGCGUUUUCUAGGUUCUUAGUGUCUUGAAGAGGAUAAGUGAUCAAGACUGCCAACUAUUAGGCUUGAAUCCUAAGUAUGCUCGUCCAGAUUGGAUGAUUCUUCAAGUACUUCCAAUACCUCCACCUCCUGUGAGACCCUCUGUGAUGAUGGACACUUCCUCUAGGAGUGAGGCAGUCUCUUUUAUGUUGCUUUUUACAUUAAGGUCUUUGAAGCUAAUUCCAUUUAUGAUUGCAUUAGAUCAAAUCUGAAUUCUCAUGUUUUCUGAAACCAGGAUAACUUAACACAUGCGUUGGCUAUGAUCAUUCGGCACAAUGAGAACUUGAGGAGACAGGAGAGAAAUGGGUCACCUGCACAUAUCAUAUCCGAAUUUGCGCAGUUGUUGCAGUUUCAUGUGGCUACAUAUUUGACAAUGAGUUACCUGGAAUGCCAAGGUAUAGCCCUUACCUGCGCAAUAUUAAAGUUGGUAUUGUUGAGAUCCACUGCUCCAUAUGAAUGCAUUGUUAAACUUAACAUGUCUUUCUUUCUUGUGUAGGCUACACAGAGAUCUGGGAGACCUAUUAAAUCUAUUUGUAGUAGGCUUAAGCGAAAGAGGGCCGGAUUAGGGGUAACUUGAUGGGGAAAAGGUUGACUUUUCAGCUCGAACAGUAUUACACCAGAUCCAAAUUCAACAUUGAUGAACUUGAGUACCUUGGAGUAUUGCUUUAAAUCUAUCAUAUCCAGAAACUGUGACUCCUAUAUAACAUUGAGAGUAAUUAGCUUCUUAGAUUUUUUAAUGUUCUUCCACAUUUGGCCAAGUAUUAGUAGCAGAGCUAUCUUUGAAACAGGUUGAAAGAACUUGUGGAAUAUGGGCCUCAUCCUCCACCUGGAAGGACUGGUGCUAAGUAUAUCAUAAGAGAUGAUGGACAAAGGCUUGAUCUUCGUUACCUGAAGAAAAGCAGUGAUCAUCACCUAGAGCUUGGUUAUAAGGUAUGCUUCUAUUUCUGACAGGUUUUAAUUGGACAUUGGUUUAUUUUUCCAUGUUGUAACAAUCACAAUAUGGCUGCAGGUGGAACGGCAUUUAAAUGAUGUAGAUUUUGUCCUUUUUAAUUGUCAACCUAGUCUCCAUAAAAUGUCAAUCAUGGGCCACAGAAUCAGGAUUAUGCCAUACUCAACAUUUCGUCUAAAUUUGUCUGUUACUUCACCAUACAAUGCUGGUUUUGAUGGUGAUGAAAUGAAUAUGCAUGCUCCUCAAUCGUUUGAGACAAGAGCUGAAGUAUUGGAGCUCAUGAUGGUGCCUAAGUGCAUUGUGUCCCCUCAAUCAAAUAGGCCUGUUAUGGGGAUUGUCCAGGAUACACUUUUAGGAUGCCGUAAAAUCACCAAGAGGGAUACUUUCAUAGAAAAGGUGAUGGGGAUGAUAGCCCCAUUCUUUUAAUAUGACUACUUAAAUGCUACACAUUUCUGGUAGUUGUGACGUGAAUCUAAUUUAUUGGGGGCGGGGGGUUGCAGGAUGUUUUCAUGAAUAUAUUAAUGUGGUGGGAGGACUUUGAUGGAAAGGUUCCGGCUCCUGCAAUUCUAAAGCCACGACCGCUUUGGACAGGGAAGCAGGUUUUUAAUCUUAUCAUACCAAAGCAGAUAAAUCUGCUGAGAACAUCUGCCUGGCAUUCAGAAACUGAGACCGGGUUUAUCACCCCUGGGGAUACUCAAGUUCGAAUAGAAAAGGGGGAGGUGCUGUCUGGCACUCUUUGCAAGAAGACACUUGGAACAUCUUCUGGAAGUCUUAUACAUGUAAUUUGGUAUGUCUUUAGUUGUUUGUUGAUCUAACUUUUACUUUUAGGAGAGCUAUCUCAUUGAAGAAGUUUGAUAAGCUCUAAAUCUUACAGAUUAUGGAUAUGCUAUUAGAUUUUCCUCUUUAUAUCUUUUCGAUUCCAAGUGAAGCUGAAUCCUAAUCAUAAACUGAGAUUGUGAAAAAUUUACAAUUACUUUCCACUUGAGUGGAUAAUUUACAAUUGUCCGUGCUUACUUCUCCUUGUGAAAUAUGGAUUCUUCCAAUAUGUGCAUUUGGCUUUGAACUUCAUACCAUUAAUAUUUUAAAAUAAUUGUUUUUGUUAAUAUCCUUUUUUAUAGGGAAGAGGUUGGUCCGGAUGCUGCCCGGAAAUUUUUGGGACAUACACAAUGGCUUGUCAAUUAUUGGCUGCUGCAGAAUGCCUUUAGUAUUGGUAUUGGAGAUACAAUUGCUGAUGCAGCAACAAUGGAAAAAAUUAGUGAAACGAUUUCUAAAGCCAAAGAGGAUGUGAAAUUGCUCAUUACUAAAGCCCAAAACAAGGAUUUAGAGCCUGAACCUGGAAGAACUAUGAUGGAAUCCUUUGAAAACAAAGUUAACCAGGUACCUGAGGUCAAAUUUCUUGGGCUUUCUUUUGUUCUGGCAUCUUUCUGUAGCAUGCUAAUAUAGUUUGUUUUUUCAGGUGUUGAAUAAAGCUCAUGAUGAUGCAGGAAACAGUGCACAAAAAAGUUUGUCGGAAAGCAAUAACCUUAAGGCAAUGGUUACUGCAGGAUCCAAGGGAAGUUUCAUUAACAUAUCCCAAAUGACAGCUUUUGUCGGUCAGCAGAAUGUUGAGGGAAAGCGAAUCCCUUUUGGGUUCAUAGAUCGUACAUUGCCCCAUUUUACCAAGGAUGAUUAUGGCCCUGAAAGUCGUGGUUUUGUUGAGAACUCAUACCUGCGUGGGUUGACCCCACAAGAGUUCUUUUUCCAUGCCAUGGGUGGUGGAGAAGGUCUGAUAGAUACUGCGGUUAAGACUUCUGAGACUGGGUACAUACAGAGGCGACUUGUGAAAGCAAUGGAGGAUAUUAUGGUUAAAUAUGAUGGAACUGUCAGGAACUCAUUGGGGGAUGUUAUUCAAUUCCUCUAUGGUGAAGAUGGUAUGGAUGCUGUAUGGAUAGAAUCUCAGAAGCUGGAUUCUUUGAAGAUGAAGAAAUCAGAAUUUGAUAGGGUCUUCAGAUAUAAUAUAGAUGAUGAAAACUGGAAUCCAACUUCUUAUAUGUUACCAGAACAUAUUGAAGAUUUGAGAACCAUCCAAGAAUUGUGUGAUGUGUUUGAUGCUGAAGUUAAUAAACUUGAAGCUGAUAGAUACCAACUUGGAGCAGAGAUUGCAGUCACGGGUGAUAGUAAUUGGCCUUUGCCUGUUAACUUGAAGAGACUUAUCUGGAAUGCACAGAAGACUUUUAAAGUUGAUUUUAGAAGGGUGUCAGAUUUGCACCCAGUGGAGAUUGUAGAUUCUGUUGAUAAACUCCAGGAAAGGUUAAAGGUUGUUCCGGGUACAGAUCCUCUGAGUGUGGAAGCCCAAAAGAAUGCCACCCUCUUCUUCAGCAUUUUACUUCGCAGUACUUUGGCCAGUAAAAGGGUGUUGCAGGAAUAUAGACUGACAAAAGAAGCAUUUGAGUGGGUUAUUGGUGAAAUAGAGUCACGAUUCUUGCAGUCUUUAGUAGCACCUGGUGAAAUGAUUGGUUGUGUUGCUGCACAAUCAAUUGGUGAGCCUGCUACUCAAAUGACUCUUAACACCUUCCACUAUGCUGGUGUGAGUGCAAAGAAUGUUACCCUUGGUGUCCCCAGGUUGAGGGAAAUUAUUAAUGUAGCUAAGAAAAUCAAAACGCCUUCCCUUUCUGUCUACCUUUCUCCUGAAGCUAGUAAGACAAAGGAGAAGGCCAAGAAUGUCCAAUGUGCUUUAGAAUACACUACUCUUCGGAGUGUUACUCAUGCUACUGAAGUAUGGUAUGAUCCGGACCCAAUGAGCACAAUUAUUGAGGAGGAUAUUGACUUUGUUAAGUCCUACUAUGAAAUGCCAGAUGAAGAGGUUACCCCUGAAAAGUUCUCCCCUUGGCUACUUCGCAUAGAGUUGAAUCGUGAGAUGAUGGUUGAUAAGAAGUUGAGUAUGGCUGACAUAGCUGAGAAGAUCAACAUGGAAUUUGAUGAUGAUUUGACUUGCAUAUUUAACGAUGAUAAUGCAGAGAAGUGAUCCUACGUAUCCGCAUCAUGAAUGAUGAAGCCCCAAAGGGUGAAUUGAAUGAUGAGUCUGCUGAAGAUGAUGUCUUCUUGAAGAAGAUUGGAGUAACAUGCUGACAGAAAUGGCACUUCGAGGUAUCCCAGACAUCAACAAGGUGUUCAUUAAACAUAGUAAAGCAAGCAAAUUUGAUGAGGCUGAUGGAUAUAAGACCAGAGAGGAGUGGGUGCUGGAUACAGAAGGUGUCAAUCUCUUGGCUGUAAUGUGCCAUGAAGAUGUUGAUGCGAGGAGAACAACAAGCAAUCACUUGAUUGAAGUGAUUGAAGUUCUUGGAAUCGAAGCAGUUCGUCGGUCCUUGUUGGAUGAAUUGCGGGUUGUGAUAUCAUUUGAUGGGUCUUAUGUGAAUUAUCGGCAUCUAGCUAUCCUCUGUGAUACAAUGACAUAUCGUGGCCACUUGAUGGCCAUUACCCGUCAUGGCAUCAACCGCAAUGAUACAGGGCCUAUGAUGAGGUGCUCAUUUGAAGAAACUGUAGAUAUUCUCCUUGAUGCAGCUGUUUAUUCUGAGUCAGAUUAUUUAAGGGUGUGACAGAGAAUAUAAUGUUGGGUCAGCUUGCACCAAUUGGUACAGGAGACUGCUGCCUUGUAUCUCAAUGAUGAGAUGUUGAAGAACGCCAUUGAACUUCAGCUACCUAGUUACAUGGAAGGACUGGAAUUAGGCAUGACACCUGCUCGUUCUCCAGUGUGAGGAACUCCUUAUCAUGAAGGCAUUGAUGUCUCCAAGUUACUUGCUGAGCCCAAAUCUCGGUCUCUCACCCAUUACAGAUUCUCAGUUCUCACCUUAUGUUGGCGGGAUGCAUUCUCUCCUGCGUCAUCCCCUGGUUACAGUCCGUCAUCUCCUGGAUAUAGUCCUUCAUCUUCCGGUUACAGUCCUACCUCUCCUGGUUACAGUCCUACAUCCCCUGGGUAUAGUCCCACCUCUCCUGGUUACAGCCCCACAUCACCUACUUACAGUCCUAGUUCACCAGGUUAUAGUCCGACAAGUCCAGCCUAUUCUCCUACAAGUCCCUUCUUAUUCUCCAACGUCACCGAGCUAUAGCCCUACCUCUCCAAGUUACAGCCCUACCUCCCCAAGUUACAGCCCCACUUCUCCAAGUUAUAGUCCCACAUCUCCCAGCUAGAGUCCAACUUCACCUAGCUACAGCCCCACUUCACCUGUAUAUAGCUCAACAUCACCAGCAUAUAGCCCAACUUCUCCAUCAUACAGCCCAACAUCCCCGUCAUACAGCCGACAUCUCCUUCCUACAGCCCAACCUCACCCUCCUAUAGCCCUACGUCUCCCUCAUACAGCCCUACUUCACCAGCUUAUAGCCCCACUUCCUGGCUAUAGUCCAACCUCACCAAGUUACAGUCCCACAUCACCAAGCUAUAGCCCUACCUCUCCAAGUUAUAACCACAGUCAGCCAAGUACAGUCCAUCUCUGGCAUACUCACCAAGCAGUCCAAGGUUGUCUCCUUCCAGUCCUUACAGUCCAACAUCACCAAAUUAUAGGUAGGCCAUGGUAGACUAAAUCGCUUUUUUGUUUGUUGCUGAUGACUAUUGGGUGGUGUUACAGUUAUUUUAGUUUAUUCCCUAUUCUCCUUGGUUUUAAUGAAUUUAUAUUCAUGCUAUGUAAUGUGCUUGUAACUUUGUUUAUGAUGGAAUUAAUGUUUUUUUUUUUGAAUUGUAGCCCGACAUCACCAUCAUAUUCACCAACUUCUUCUACUUAUUCCCCUUCGAGUCCAACAUACAGUCCUAGCAGGUAACUUUUCAUAUUUUGCUAUGUAACUGAAUAGGUUAAUCUAGGAUGUUGUCAGUGAGAUGUGUCUUAAAGCUGCCACUCGUUAUAUUUUCAUACUGAAGCAAAUGGUUAUUACUGAUUUUUCUAAUGCCAAAUUUGUUUCUAAAUGCCUUUUGAUAAUCUGUUUUUGUUUUAUUUCUGCAAAACCAGCCCAUAUAAUUCUGGAGUGAGUCCGGACUACAGCCCAAGUUCGCCACAGUACAGGUAAGCAGACUCGAGUGUUGAAUUUAAAAUUUGCUCUCUUUUGUGUUUUAUAUGUCCAAUGUUCUGUGCAGUCCAAGUGCUGGGUACUCUCCUAGUGUACCAGGAUAUUCUUCCAUCAUCAACUAGUCAGUACACUCCAAGCAACAAGGAUGAUCUGGUGACUAAAGAUGAGAGAAGCAGUAAAGAUGACAGGAGUAAACGUUAAGGCAUGCCAUUUUCUGAAAAGCUUGAGAGGAAGCCAAGGUUGAUUUAAUCUUAAACUCUUAAUUUGCAAUUUUGAAAUUGCAGUAAACUGACCCUUCCAUGAUAACAAUUUUCCAUUAGGCUGCUCUUCUAAUUCUAAAGGCUUUUAAAAAUUUUGGGAGGGUAACUAUGAACCUUUUCCUUAAAUGAGCAAUAUUGAAUUAUCACCAAACAUGGUUUGGGUAUUCAUGUACCACGUCUUCAAUUAAAUGAUCAGAAGGUUUAUUGUAAUGUAAUUUCUAAGUAUUCUAUUCAUUCUAGGUUUCAGCAUGUAAUGAUACAAGUGAAUGAUGGACGCAUGUCUGACUUGGCCUCAGUUUUUGUUUAGUUUGCAGUUCCAACGAGUUGCUGGCCUGUUGGGUCUUCAACAUUCUGCGGGUGGAAUGAGGCAAAAAUGCUUGUAGUUGGGAUAGCUCCUUUUUUUUUAUUGGUUAUCUUUUCUUGUUAAAAUUCCUGUAUGGGGUAAUCUUUUAUAAGAUUUUUGUUGCCCAUAAAGUUUGUUAGACUACUGGAUUGCUAAUAGGGAUAUAAACCAUUUCCCGUUGUUCACAUGGAAUGGCUGAGUUUGUGAAACAAAAUUCGCUUAUGGUGUAUCUUUUAGUAGAAAGAUAAUGCAAAAGACAGAACGUUAAUCUUUUCUCGAGCUUUUUCUGGUUAAAUUGUUGCUUGUAGUAGCACUGAAUUGUUGUAUUGAAUUAAUAAAGUUGACAUUCAUUUCAACUUCCAAGCAUCUUUAAUUGUUAUUUGCAUAAUUGCAUUUCAAUACGUAAAUUUUUUUUUUUUUUUGAGAUCUUUCAAUGUUUGAUAGUUAUUUUAGGUUUUGAUUAGUCAGAGUUGGGUCAGAUUGGAUUUUAUGAGAGGGUCAAAUUUUUUUUAAGUUUAUUUUUUAUUCACAAGAUUUAAAAUUGAGAUUUUGUUUAAAAAAACUGAAUUUAUCAUCAUUCGGUUUAACAUAAGUUUGUUAAUACGGUAAUUUACAUCAUUCAAAAAGGUUAAAACAUAAAAAAGUUAUUAAAUUAUUUUAUUUUUAAUUAAACAUUUAUAAUUUAUUUAUUUAAAUAAAAUUUUAUGUUUUAUUCAUAUCUAAAACGUUUUUAUUUCAAAUAAUUUUUUUUUAUUUAUAUUAAAGGAUAAUUUAGGUAUUAAUUAAAAGUUAAAGGUUUAUUCAGACAUAAAUUAAAAUUAAAGAUUUAUUUGGAUAUAAUAAAAUAUAUAGAUUUAUCUAACUAAAAUAUUAAACUUCAGCAGGUUUUCUUUUUUAGCCUCCAGAAAAUUCCGACAGGCUAAGUUCUGGCCGGCAACGAAGUUGCUUUGAGGCAUCAGUUAUUCAUUCUGACCAUUUCUACCGACAAGGCCGUGCAUAUAUAAUUUCGAUUUUGUACGACAAGGUUAAUAUACAUGUGUUUUAUUUAUUUAUUUAUUUUAUCUGUUCUUGCUUCGCUAGAUGUCUGAUCUCGGGUGGAGAAACUGGUGAACGGUAGGAACAAGAAUGUCGUGAACGGAGGAACAAGAAUUCUAGGCCUCUCUGGCAAAAGCUGCAUCAGCUGUCACUUCCGAAGUAAGCUCACCAAUCAGCCCUGUGGGUAAAGGAUCAUCAAGUCCGAUGGAUAUCCUUGAUUCCGAAGGAGGCUCGAAGGAAGUCUAUGCAUUUCAAAAAUGCUCCUAUUGCCCUCUGCGCAUACAAGGUCAAUGUAUAUUUACGAAUUUUAGUUGGUAAUCGAAGAACAAGAUUGUGGCCUCUGCUUAAAGCACCAUCCCUGUCAGAAAGUCACCUCCCAAAAUAAGCCUAAUGCUCAUGCAAGUUGGGAAAGAAUCUUUAGUUUUCCAAUCGUAUGCCAAGAAGAUCAGAGGAAAUCCGAAAGUAGAAGCUUCGAUGCACGUGAACCAAACCUUCACCCAAAAGUUCCAUGCAUAUGCACAAAUCAAUAGCAAAGAAAACGAAAACCAUGGGCAAUUUUGGCAAGCAUACUCCUCUACCGGAAGCAUCCCUUGCCAUUUUAUUUCAAAAGAAGCGAAUAUGAACCAUUUACUUUCAGUAAUGGUGAAGAUAUUGAGAGGACAAAACGUAGUGAAAAAUCUGAUGAAUUCUGUGCCAGAAAUUUGCUGAAAGAGUGCCUUUCCAGGGCAAAUGAAGCAAAUUCUGGCUAGAUGAGGCUAUUAGUGGUGCAAGUGCGGCACUCACUUGGGACCAGGUUACAUGAGUAAUCCUUUUCGUAUUUGGAGAAGUAGAAGUGAAAAACAAUGGAAGGUUGUUGGUGACGGAAGGAAGUUGUUGAACAAGUUCGGUUUAUGGAAGACAAGAACCUUGUCUUCUGUAAAUUAAUGAAGGCUCACCACACCACUUUGAUCAUACUCUAUUUAUUUCAUAUACUUUUUUCCCAUUUUCUUCCAAGAAAAUGUUAGAAUCGAAGGAUGCAAGUGAAGCAGCCGCUGAAACAAAUUUUAUCAAAAACAGCUGUGCUUUGAUUGUUGAGAAUUCCACUUGAAUAAAGUCGUGUCGUAAUUACUACUCUUUGAGAAGUGAUUGGCUAUUGUAAUUAGUAAUAAUGUGGGCAGUGGCCUGCGGGAGUAAGUGAGACCCGACAGAUGGGAUAUUUUGAGCGAUGGAUUGGCGGUGGGUAUCUAUCUUUAUCAUUACUCAUUAAAUUUACACGCUGGCUAUGGUCCACUGGAAGAACACCUCAAACUUGUCUAUCUAGAUUCCAUUUGCAAUCUUUUCUUGUUUGGACUUUUUGGAUCGGCCUCUUUCACCUUCUUUUUUCCCCUCGCCUAGAAAAGAAGGUUAAAAGUAAAAUAAAACAUAAAAAAGGUAACCAAUCACAUCAGGCCUUGAGCACAAUCUUUUUUUUUUUUUGGGGUUAGUUUUACGAGGAGAAAUUAUUAAUAUAUUAUGUAAUUUCAUAAAUGAAAUUAAUAUUGUUUUUAAUUAUUUUUAAACAUAUUUUAAAAAAUAUAUAUUAUUUUAUUAAUUUUAUUUUUAAAAUUAAAAAAUUUACAUUGAUAAUAUAUAUGAUAAUUUUUUUGUUAUAACUUACUUUUAAAAUAAAGUANNNNNNNNNNNNNNNNNNNNNNNNNNNNNNNNNNNNNNNNNNNNNNNNNNNNNNNNNNNNNNNNNNNNNNNNNNNNNNNNNNNNNNNNNNNNNNNNNNNNNNNNNNNNNNNNNNNNNNNNNNNNNNNNNNNNNNNNNNNNNNNNNNNNNNNNNNNNNNNNNNNNNNNNNNNNNNNNNNNNNNNNNNNNNNNNNNNNNNNNNNNNNNNNNNNNNNNNNNNNNNNNNNNNNNNNNNNNNNNNNNNNNNNNNNNNNNNNNNNNNNNNNNNNNNNNNNNNNNNNNNNNNNNNNNNNNNNNNNNNNNNNNNNNNNNNNNNNNNNNNNNNNNNNNNNNNNNNNNNNNNNNNNNNNNNNNNNNNNNNNNNNNNNNNNNNNNNNNNNNNNNNNNNNNNNNNNNNNNNNNNNNNNNNNNNNNNNNNNNNNNNNNNNNNNNNNNNNNNNNNNNNNNNNNNNNNNNNNNNNNNNNNNNNNNNNNNNNNNNNNNNNNNNNNNNNNNNNNNNNNNNNNNNNNNNNNNNNNNNNNNNNNNNNNNNNNNNNNNNNNNNNNNNNNNNNNNNNNNNNNNNNNNNNNNNNNNNNNNNNNNNNNNNNNNNNNNNNNNNNNNNNNNNNNNNNNNNNNNNNNNNNNNNNNNNNNNNNNNNNNNNNNNNNNNNNNNNNNNNNNNNNNNNNNNNNNNNNNNNNNNNNNNNNNNNNNNNNNNNNNNNNNNNNNNNNNNNNNNNNNNNNNNNNNNNNNNNNNNNNNNNNNNNNNNNNNNNNNNNNNNNNNNNNNNNNNNNNNNNNNNNNNNNNNNNNNNNNNNNNNNNNNNNNNNNNNNNNNNNNNNNNNNNNNNNNNNNNNNNNNNNNNNNNNNNNNNNNNNNNNNNNNNNNNNNNNNNNNNNNNNNNNNNNNNNNNNNNNNNNNNNNNNNNNNNNNNNNNNNNNNNNNNNNNNNNNNNNNNNNNNNNNNNNNNNNNNNNNNNNNNNNNNNNNNNNNNNNNNNNNNNNNNNNNNNNNNNNNNNNGAAAUAAGAAAUCCAACUCAAUCCUGUCAUCUAAGAACAAAAAAAGCAAUGUAAGAUAAAAAGACAAUGUUAAGAACAAUGCUAGUAUGAAUUCUCUGAAGAAAGCAAUGCCUAGAACAAUGCAGAUCGGGGAAAAAGCAGGAACAGGGGUUUUGAGGUUCUUCUGUUCCCUCACUCUCAAAAAAGAAGAAAGAAUUCAAAUCAUUAAAAGUGAAUAAUGAGUAGCUUUCAGCGAUCCGUUGCAACAGGCCAUCUCUUAUUCAUUUCAAAAAAUCACUUAAAUUUGACCUUUCCAUGAACUUUUAGUUUACGCUAAGUGAUGCUCUUUUGAAGAUGUAAACCAACAUUGCAUAUGGUAUAAAUUAAUAUUCAUCAUCAUCAGCUUAAUUUAACGGGUCUAGAUACAGAACCAUAGGAACCAUAGAUAAGUCAAUGAUUCUGAAAACUAUCAAAUACUACAUAGAAAAAGUUACCUUUAUAAUGUUUGCUUAAACCUUGUACUCAUUGACUCGCAUCCAUUUCGUAGACGACCACUUAUUUCCUCUAAUCACAGGGCAGCCUCCUGGAUAAUUAAAAACAGUAAAUUAUAAAUGAUCCUAGAAAAGAAAUGAACAGAAAGUAGGAAGAUAUUAACUUGUGAUAAAUUAAGUAAUGCAACUAGACAUUCAAGGGAAAUGAGUCAUGAUGCUCAAAAAUUAAAGGGUCCCUGUUUGAUAAAGCUGAAAUUUGAACCACACACCUCAGCAGCAAGCUAAAUAGUAACUAGAACUAACCAUGCAGACUUGAAGGAUCAAGACUUGCAUCAGGCUUCAUGCUCCAGAAAAGUAAUGCAUCACCCAUCCUUGGUUUAACAGAAAGUCCUCCUUUUCCACACUCAGAUAAUUCAUUCCACCAAGGCACAGCACUAAUGUUCCCUUUGCCGCAGGAAACACUGUCUCCCCCUUCUUCAACAUCUGAGCUGUAAAACGGUAAAAAAAGUACAGAAAGAACAAAUGUGAACUUACACAUAAUGCACUAGAUAAAAAACACAGUGAAAAUAUGUAAUGCCACUUACAGUACAUAAGGAACUGUAGCUAUGCGCUGGCCCCCGUUUUUUAGUAUUGAACUCAUCCAUGAAGUAGUCAUAGUGAGGCUCAUAUUUUUUGGCCAGCCUCAUAGUGGAGAAUUUGAAUCCUUCCCCGUGCUCUGCAUAUUAUGUGUUGCCAUGAGUAACUUUACAACCACUGAUAGCACAAAACACAAGAGCUGACCUAAAGCAGACUCUAAGGAAGAAUACAUGAUAAUAUGGAAGAAAGAAGUACACUUAGGAAAGUAAUGAAAAACAAAUGCAGAUAAAAUUUGGAUUGAUCCAGAUACUAGACAUACCGACUGGUAUGAAGGUAAAAUCUGCAAUCCUUCUCUCAAUGUUCCUAAUAAUCUUAUCACGUCUCUAGCUAGAAAUGUUCCAGAACUUGUACGUACCCUGUAUGUAAACAUCCAGGGUUUCACAUAUAAUCAAAGAGUUAACAAAUAUAAAAAGAAAACUAUAUGCAAUAAGAUCAUUAAGAAGUACAUACCUACUAUCUUUACUCUUGCCAGUUUCACUAUCAACAACGGUUGACUUUACCAUAUGAGGCUUUGGCAAGAUCAAUCAGGUAUUCACAUUCCUCCUUGGACUGCCAAAAUUAUCACAAGGACCUUGAUCAGGUACAAAAAACUUUCUAACUAAAAAUUCAUUUCGGACCAAUAAGAAACCCAUGUUCAUAAUAGGAUCUACUCCAAAAUUGGACAACAGGAACAUGAAUGCAUUUAUAUUCUAGUAUUAACUUUCUCUGAUUUUCCUUGCUUUUGUUUUUAGUUCUUGUGAAUGAUUCUAUAAAAAAAUGACAUUAAAUCAUCUUAUAUUUUAUGGAUCCGCUUAAUUACUAAGAAUAUAUUGAGAUAACUUUCUUAAAAAUAUUUCGCAUUAAUUAUCAGUUUAAAGUACUAGAAUACAGGAAACUUUUCUAUGAAAUUUAAAAGAAAAAAAUCAAGGCCAACAAAUAAAAAAAAAAUUGCUUAUUUGACAAAUAAUUUCAAUAGCGAUAAUGCUUCAGUUAGAGUUAAAAAUAAAAAUGAAGAGGAACAGAAAAAAAAAAAUUAACCUUUUCUGCCAAAGAAAAAAAAAAUGAGAAACUGACCAAGAAAUUAUGGUAGAUAAAAGCUCUAGGCUCCCAAGAGAUGACUUCAACCCAGUGCUCUCCUCUUCCUUCAUCAUCAUCACUUCUGCCAAUUCCAAAAAAUGCACCCAAAACAAGCAGAGUUAUUACCAGAUCGCCAUUCGCCAUCCAACUCAACCAAAAAUUUCAAAAACAAAACUCACCUGUCGACGACGUUAUGCACAAUCGAGCUCAAAUCGUUAGGUUUAGGUGAAUUUCCGGAGUUACUGCUAGGAAUUGAAAGGAUUCCGAGCGCCAAAAGAAUCAAAAUCAGGAAGGUGAACAUGAUCAGCAUGGUUAGAAACAUAGUUGACGAUGACGAUUUCCGAGCCGGAAGGCGCGAAUACCUCGGCUUCGCCAUUGCUUCUAAAAACUCGGGAGAUCGAGAUCUGGAACUUCCUCGACUCGGUUUCACAAGAGAACUUGGUUAUAUCAGUAAUGCUAUCUUUUUUUUUCUUUUUUAUUUUAGAAGUCUUCUAUUCCUCUACCUUUUUUUUUUUUUUUUUUUUUUGUAAUAAUCAGUCUUUUGGUUUCCUGUUUCGUUAGCUUGUGGAAACCAAUGUCCUUUGAAAUUGUUCUCCUUAAAUCGCAUUUGGAUAUUUCUCGUUUUUGCUCUUUUCUCCCUAUACUUUUUCUUAUUUAUAUAUUUCCAUCAUAUUUUUACUUAUUAGCACCAAGAUAUUUUAUUUGUAUUAUUUUAACAAUAAAAAUUGUUUUUUAACCCAACCAACCUGUCUAGUCUAACAUUAUCUUUUACCGAAUGUGGUGUACGGCUACCCAUUGUAACUUAUCCAUAAAUUUUGCAUGCAAAGCCUUACAAAUUAAUUAAUUAAUAAUUUGUCAUCCCAAAGAAGGAAAUGUGUUAGGUUAAUAAUUUUUUUUUUUGUAAAAAAGCCAGAGCUUAGGAAGAUUAAAAAAAAUUGCAAGCAUUGAAGCUCGAACCCCAAUCUUAGCAUGUGGGCAGCCUCACGUUUUAGCUUAAAAAUGUUGCUAAAUUAAAUAACAACCACAAAAAAUGAGAAGGAGAGAUAAAUACAGCUCAUAAAUGGAUGUGUUGUGAUUUAUUAUGAAUUAAAAAACCAAGUCAACUAGCAAUUAUAUGACUUUCAUGUUUGAUAAUAAUAGAAGUAUAAUUUUUUUCUUUGUUAUGCUUGGGCUGGAUUAUAUGUAUAUAUGUUUAAUUUAUUGAUAAUGGAGAAGCGGUGCUAAACAUGAUGAUAAGAUCAAACUAUCGGGAACAAAGGUCAACCUGUCAGCAGCUUGUAAAAAGUCCAUCCAGAAUACUUCUAUUAUGCUUUUCUGCUGAUUAUGCCUUUUUGAUUACCAAGAAUUGUGAAGAAUUCAUCACUGGGAGAGACUGAGCCUUUUCAUCAUUAUUAUUAGCACUUAUGAUUUAUCAGCAAUUUUUUACUUUAUCUGUACCCAAAAUUUUGAGGCAUUUAAAACUAAUCAAAAGUUCAAACCAUUGGGAGAUAGGGAGUUUUAUUGCGCUUCUUCAAAUGAUUUGGUUUUUGUUCUCUUGUCUGUCUAAAGGCUCUGUGGUUAUGUCUAUUUUUAAAAUUUUCAUUUUCUGGCUCAAGUGUGGUUGCUAGUAUUGCAAACAAAGAAGUGCAAUGGUUAACUAACUACAUAUAUAUGAUGCGAAAUUGCCAACUCAAUCAUGUAAAAGCAUUGCAUCAAACUUUUUUUGACAGAGCUUGGGCUUUUGGUUUACCACAAAAGCAGAAAGAACAACUUGCAACAUUUUGAAAUAUACGACACCUGCAACAGCACUACUUUUCACAACAGGGUUUCUCAUAACAGAAUGAAGUAAUACUAACCAUACUUAUUUGCAAGCACACUUAAAUAAAUGAAAAGAACUCUCAAUGACACAUACAAAUCAAUGCAUGGUAGGUAAUGCAAUCAAUCGAAAGUUGAAAAAGCUCCCCUAUCCCAAUGGUCUAAAAGACACCAAGUGAUGUAGGAUAUAAAGGAGCAGGUUUAUAAUUAAAAAAAUUGGAAAAUAAGUGGAUGCUCCUCGCUUGGAUCGCCCAUGGAUUCAACAGCUGGUUGGUUUAAGUACGCAUACUUGCUCUUUGUCCACCUGCUCAUGUUAGUUGAAAGCAGAUACCAGAGUUCAAUUAAAAAUGUUUUAGUAUAAAUUUUCAAGAAAUAAAGGCAUUUUAUCAGUUGUCCUAAACUAAUAGCUACAACUCCAGAAGAUGAGCAAAGAAUUAGCAAAUUAUAUGUCCGUGUCGUGAUAUAGAAUCAGUUAUCUGAUGGAUUUCAUGGGCAAAAUGCAGUUAUUUUCAUUUUUUGAUGUCAGAAAACUGUAUGACACAGACAUUUGGAGCUAAUAAUGCAGUUAAAUCGAUUCAGGGAAAUCUACUUCAAUAUGAUUUCCUAUGUAUGUUUAUUCUCAUCAUGAUUAGAAUAGCCAAAGUCUUGAAGAGAAAUUUUACUAACCAGUCCUUUAUUCCCACACGAAUUUCAUUAUUUUUUUUAUCUCCUUUUCCGUUGUUGGUUGGGGCUGUGAUCUUCUCCUUAGCGUUGUUAUCUUCAUUGCUCAGUGACUCUUCAAAACACUUAACAGUCUUCCUCCUACACAACAUCGAUCUUGAACAAGUUAACCAAGUGAACAAAGUGACUCAAAUGUUUUGGCAUGCUACAGACUUUAUUAAAACUAACUCUCCACCUUCUAAUGCCUAGAAAUGAGCUUCUUAUCUAUUGCAAUUCUCUUCGCAUUAGUCAAAUGGUGAGCUUGAAAUGCAAGUGAUAAUAAUUCUCCAGGCAACUUUGUCGAAAAAUAGAAUCCCAGGGAAAUUUUAAUCCUAUCUUUGGUACCAACAUUACCAGAAAAAGAAGAGAAUAGGAAUGAAACAGGACAAGCAUUUUAUUUCCCCGGCUUAUCAAUUAGGUGACCAUAUAAAAGAUUUCUUCUAAUCAAUACUCAACAUGAAUCACUUUGACUGUUAAGCAAUCGGCUCAUCAACAAAAAUUAGUGAAACUGAUAGCAGGUUUCAGAGAGAACCCUGUCAUAAAGCUGAAUGAGUAUCAUAUAAUCUUACCGACAGAUUGCGGGCCCUGAUGCGUGCUGCAGCCUUGAUGGCAGCCAGUAGGUGAUCCUCUUCUUCAAUGCGCUUCUGCCUCCAGAACUUGGCAAUCUCUCGGUUUGUUAUACUGUCGGCAGUAGUCUUCCUUGCCCAGAAUCUUGGAAGUGGCGGUGGGGGGAUUGCCUGUUUAGGCUUACCAAUGAUACUGUCAGUUUCCAACUUUGUUGGAUUCAUAAUCAUAGAACUCUUUGGUUGAAUAUGCUACUUAGCUUUGCCUCAAGUCCAAGUUUGAGAUGAUCAGGUGAAAUAACAAAAUAGCAGGGUACAAAUUAUUGAAUAAGUAACAAGCCACUUCCAUAACCAACCCCCCACAGCUACUAAUCCAACCUAACUUUCAACUGUGAGUGAUAGAUUGGUUUCUUGGGUGCUCUAAGGUUUUCAAUUUUGGAAUUGCUUGGCUGGUUUCUCAACACUAACCAGCAUGCAAAAUUUUGACCGGUAGAUGCAAUUUCAAGUAGUAAGAAUGACAAGUGAAGACAAGUAAGAUAUGGAUAAUCCAUAUACUGGAAUGAAAGAAACUGCCAUAUAAAAAAUUAGGCCGAAGAAAAGUUCUGGGAAAUGGUUUAAUCAAUAUUUUUCUUCGGUCAAACACAUACCUACCACUAACCCCAACUCAAAAUCAGGUCCAAUUAAAUCGCCCAACAGUCCAGACUCCAGAAUAAUCCAAUGGUUGUUCCCAUGGUUUGGAUAAACCCUUUCAUAUUUAAUAGAUCAAUGAGAAUCAAUUAAUGAGAACCAUCCUUGAUGUUCCCUCAAAAUUUUAUUUAGCAGUGGACUUUCACUGCAACUCAAACCAUGGAAUAGACUGAUGCAACAAGGUAAAUUGCAGAAACGAAUUUCAAGUCAUUAGCACCAGUAUUUACUCCGAUGAUACAAGGUUCACCCGAAACUUUUUAUCAGCUAAGACCAAAAUAAACAAUUUCUUGAUCUGGGAAUUUACUACCCUUGCAAACAGCUGAGUCUGAUUGGUUCUAUUUAUUGAAGUUAUCACUUAGCAACCUACCUCUGCGACAGAGUAAGCAUCGCAAUAGGUGGUUGAAUACGAUUGAGAUUACGUUCUGAAAUUAUCAUCACGGUGGAUAAUUCAAGGCUUCCAUAUAUGGUUUUUGCUGAGGUUGAUACCUGCAACACAUCAACAUCUCCUGAAACUGUUAGAUAUUAGACGCAUUCCUGGUUCUCCGACAGGAACAUGCGACCUUUGUUCUGUUCAAUUUCAAACCCCCUAUUAGUUUCGUAUCUGACUCUGCAAACCGCAGCCUAAAAUAUCACCAAUCAAAUCUAAAGUUCAAGAAAAAAAAAAAGAACGAAUCAAUUUAAUAAACUGAAGGGAAUGAUGAGAUGGAUUCUCUUUAAUUGGCAUAAAAAUCUCUAUUGGAUUGAAGAAAUAGAGUGAUCGAAAUUCACAUAACAAGAUCGUCCGUAUACAUAGACCAAACCAAAGAAACCCCCAACCCAAAAUAUCUACAAAAACCAGAAACCAUAAUCAGAAAAGUUCUUCAAGUUUCAGACAUGAUGUUAAGCGCCUUGGUCUUGAACCGAUAUCUAGGAGCUCUAGGGAUCACCUGACUGGGCCCAAAAUGGUAUUGACCGGGACUGUUGGUGAGAGGAGGACCGUCAUCAUAAACAUAACCAACGAGUUUGCCACAGUUAUUGCACUUGAUCUUGGUCCUGUUUCGUACGAUCCCCCAGUAAUUAACGGUCUCAAAAAAAGGCCUGAUCUUGUCCUCUUUCUCUAACUUGAACUUGGAGGCGUCGAUCAAGGCGAAGGAGAGGGUGCCCUUGUUUCCCGCUUCGAAGUAGAAGUCUGGAGGGAAGAGAUGGGUUGUGCUUAAGUUUAGGUUGGUUCCGCACUCUGUACAGCAGUAGAUGGAAGCCAUUUUUGAUUUCGGAUUCCAAGGUCCUUGAGUGGUGGGGAAGCAAACUGGGAAUUAUAGGGAAGCCAAGGCCGGAUUUGGCUUUGAAUUUGACGAAAUUGUCGAUGGCAGAUUUUCAAACACGCGUCGCUGCUUUAGAAAAUUCGUUUAUCCCAAAAUCAGUUUUAUUAUGACGAGGUUACUGACGUCG
rnacentral:lncRNA from 1 species